rnacentral:rRNA from 1 species
GUGGAGGGCAAGCGUUAUCCGGAAUUAUUGGGCGUAGAGGGCAUCUAGGCGGCCUAAUUCGUCUUUUGUCAAAUACUUUGGCUCAACCAAGGUGUUGCAAAAGAUACGGUUAGGCUAGAGAGAGAAAGGGGCAGACGGAACUUGCGGUGUAGGGGUGAAAUCCGUUGAUAUCGCAAGGAACACCGAUGGCGAAGGCAGUCUGCUGGUUCUUUUCUGACGCUAAAGUGCGAAAGCGUGGGUAGCGAACGGGAUUAGAUACCCCGGGUAGUCCACGCCGUAAACGAUGUCGACUGGGUCUUUGAGAGUAUCGACCCCUCUGAGGACCGAAGCUAACGCGUUAAGUCGACCGCCUGGGAAGUACGGCCGCAAGGCUA